GAGCGCCGGUCCCGGGUUGGACCGGAAACAUGGCGACCCGGGCCUCGGCGAUUCUGCGAGGCUUGGUCCCCUCACUCUUCACGUUUCACGCGAAUCAUCUUUUUUUUUUACUUUUUAUUUAUUUAUUUAUUUUUCGAUGUUUAUUUAUUUUUGAGAGAGAGAGGGAGAAGGAGACACGGAAGCCAAAGCGGGCUCCAGGCUCCAGUCUCUGGAGUUGUCAGCACAGAACCAGAUGCAGGGCUCCGACCCAGAAACCGUGAGACCAUUACCUGGGGCGAAGUUGGCCGCUUAAGGGACUGAGGCACCCAGCCGCCCUGCGAAUCAUCUUUAAAACUGCUUUUCCCCAUUGUAUUUCCUAGUGGACCACUAAAGAGGAAAAAAAAAAAAAAGGCGGUGUCACCCCUAAUAUAAGGAAAUGACCACUGUUGCCAUUUUAGAGACUUUUACUCCUAUAAUUUUCUACAUAGAGUUUAAUAUUUUUGUGUUUUUGUCAUCUCCAAUUUUCCUACUUGAUUUUGUCACGUUAAGCGCUCGCCCCUCCUUCCCACACUGUGAUACCCAUUGUAAUACUACGUUGACUGGAUUAUCAUCGCUUAUUUAUUCAUUCUGUAUCAAAUCACCCACACUGAGCCCAGGAAUACCAGCCUUCCACUGAAUAGCACCACCGAAGUGGAUCUCAGCCUGUCCUUAGGGAAGUGCUGUGAAGCUUGUUACCGUUUUCACCCCAGGGACGGUGCUCUUGUUACACAGUCCCUCUCUAUAAUCACUCAAAGGAGGACAUUUUUAUGGUCUUGGUAUCAAGAAUAGAGCAACGGGUUAGUUUUGGCCUAUGGACCCAGGGAGUUUUGAAUUUGAGUUGAGCUGGUUGUUAGAAAGCUAACAGCAAAUCUUACCAAAGGAUUAAGGGGACCAAUAAAUGCAAAGAAUCAAGGUUUCAGUAGAAACCAGCCAGAACCGGUUAAGACAGCCAGCCUUCUCUUUGAGCAUGCACCUGUGUCUGACGGAUGAAUAUUUGAUACAGAAGGGUCUAAAACCCCACCCUCGAAUCAUACCAAGGAGGCCAUUCUCUGAUCAUAGAAGAGGCAUACAGAAGAUAUGUGAAGGUACAGCCAAUGAAAUCACUUCAAUCCUUCCCUUACUUAAUAAUUACCUUUAACUGAUUUUGAAAUCAUGUAGCUCCUUUUCCCUAUACCCAGAUCCUUUUUCAUUUACCUUUAAAUAUCCCUGACUCUCCCCCUUUGAGAAGAGGAAUUUGAGGAUUGCCCUCCCUUCUCCUUUGGUUUCCUCUUUUCUUUUUCUUUUCUUUUCUUUUCUUUUCUUUUCUUUUCUUUUCUUUUCUUUUCUUUUCUUCUUCUUCUUCCUCUCUUCCUCCUCCUCCUCCUCCUCCUCCUCCUCCUUCUCCUUCUCCUUCUCCUUCUCCUCCUUCUUCCCUCCCCCUCCUCCUCCAACUCCUCCUUCUUUUUUUUCAAGUAAGCUGGAUGCCUAACCAGGGGCUGGAACACACGAUCCUAAGAUCAAGAGUUACAAGCUCCAGCUCAUCCUGAAUAAACCCUUUCCUUGCUGCAUA